GACGAACGCUGGCGGCGUGCUUAACACAUGCAAGUCGAACGGAAAGGCCCUGCUUUUGUGGGGUGCUCGAGUGGCGAACGGGUGAGUUACACGUGAGUAACCUGCCCCUGACUUUGGGAUAACUUCAGGAAACUGGGGCUAAUACCGGCUAGGAGCUCCUGCUGCAUGGUGGGGGUUGGAAAGUUUCGGCGGUUGGGGAUGGACUCGCGGCUUAUCAGCUUGUUGGUGGGGUAGUGGCUUACCAAGGCUUUGACGGGUAGCCGGCCUGAGAGGGUGACCGGACACAUUGGGACUGAGAUACGGCCCAGACUGGAACGGGAGGCAACGGUGGGGAGUAUUGCACAGUGGGCGGAAGCAUAGUGCGACAACGCAGCGUGCGGGAAGAGGGCAUGCAGGUAGUAAACCGCUUUCGCCUGAGACGAGGCGUGAGUGACGGUAAUGGGUAAAGAAGCACCGGCUAACUACGUG
rnacentral:rRNA from 1 species